CCUACGGGUGACAGCAGUGAGGAAUAUUGGUCAAUGGUCGAGAGACUGAACCAGCCAAGUCGCGUGAAGGAUGAAUGCCCUACGGGUUGUAAACUUCUUUUAUAUGGGAAUAAAGUGUAGCACGUGUGCCAUUUUGUAUGUACCCUAUGAAUAAGGAUCGGCUAACUCCGGGCCAGCAGCCGCGGUAAUACGGAGGAUGCGAGCGUUAUCCGGAUUUAUUGGGUUUAAAGGGAGCGUAGGUGGGUUGUUAAGUCAGUUGUGAAAGGGUGCGGCUCAACCGGAAGAUGGCAGUUGAAACUGGCAGUCUUGAGUACAGGAGAGGUAGGCGGAAUUCGCGGUGUAGCGGUGAAAUGCUUAGAUAUCGCGAAGAACUCCGAUUGCGAAGGCAGCUUACUGGACUGCAACUGACGCUGAGGCACGAAAGCGUGGGUAUCGAACAGGAUUAGAUACCCGUGUAGUC
rnacentral:rRNA from 1 species